GCACAACGCGAAGAACCUUACCCACCUUUGACAUGUACGGAAUCCUUUAGAGAUAGAGGAGUGCUCGAAAGAGAGCCGUAACACAGGUGCUGCAUGGCUGUCGUCGGCUCGUGUCGUGAGAUGUUGGGUUAAGUCCCGUAACGAGCGCAACCCUUGUCCUUAGUUACCAGCACGUUAUGGUGGGCACUCUAAGGAGACUGCCGGUGACAAACCGGAGGAAGGUGGGGAUGACGUCAAGUCAUCAUGGCCCUUACGGCCUGGGCUGCACACGUGCUACAAUGGUCGGUACAGAGGGUUGCCAAGCCGCGAGGUGGAGCUAAUCUCACAAAACCGAUCGUAGUCCGGAUCGCAGUCUGCAACUCGACUGCGUGAAGUCGGAAUCGCUAGUAAUCGCGAAUCAGAAUGUCGCGGUGAAUACGUUCCCGGGUCUUGUACACACCG
rnacentral:rRNA from 1 species